rnacentral:rRNA from 1 species
CCUACGGGUGGCUGCAGUCGCGAAAACUUCACAAUGGGGGAAACCCCGAUGAGGGAAUUCCAAGUGCCAGCACAUUGUGUUGGCUGUUCUCUGGUCUAAAAAACCGGAGAAGUAAGGGCCGGGUAAGACGGGUGCCAGCCGCCGCGGUAAUACCCGCGGCCCAAGUGGUGGUCGAUAUUAUUGAGCCUAAAACGUCCGUAGCCGGUCUUGUAAAUCCUUGGGUAAAUCGACCAGCUCAACUGUUCGAAGUCCGGGGAGACUGCAAGACUUGGGGUCGGGAGAGGUGAGAGGUACUUCUGGGGUAGGGGUAAAAUCCUGUAAUCCUAGAAGGACCACCGGUGGCGAAGGCGUCUCACUAGAACGAAUCCGACGGUGAGGGACGAAGCCCUGGGGCGCAAACGGGAUUAGAUACCCCAGUAGUC